UAAGACGAACUGUGCAAACGUUAUUCGGAAUCACUGGGCUUAAAGGGUGCGUAGGCGGUCUGUUAAGUAGGGUGUGAAAUCCUCUGGCUCAACCAGAGAAUUGCGCCCUAAACUGUCAGGCUUGAGUGAGGCAGGGGUGUGUGGAACUUCCAGUGGAGCGGUGAAAUGUGUUGAUAUUGGAAGGAACGCCGGUGGCGAAAGCGACACACUGGGCCUUGUCUGACGCUGAGGCACGAAAGCCAGGGGAGCAAACGGGAUUAGAUACCCCGGUAGUCCUGGCCGUAAACGCUGAGUACUAGUGGGGAGGAUCGCAAGGUCUUCCUCACGGAGCGAAAGUUUUAAGUACUCCGCCUGGGGAGUAUGGUCGCAAGGCUG
rnacentral:rRNA from 1 species